rnacentral:lncRNA from 1 species
AUCAGGAGUGGAUAGCUCGGGGGCAGACGAAGCUCACUGCAGGUGUGACACGGGCUAGAACGCCGAUAGCUUUUCUGGAAUUUUAUGUAAGUUUUUGGUAGAAUAAUUUGUGUUUAUGUAUAUAAAACUACCUAUAAAUUAAUCAUGAUUUUUUUUGUGAUUGUAGGAGACCCUCGUCAGAGAGUUCGCUUCGUUGCAUCCGAAUUUGCCAGAUUGGAACGACAUACGGGAGCGACAUGCAUACGAGGAGUGGGUGGUGCCAGAAAAGCUGAUCUCCAUGUUUCCGUGCAAAAUAUCUUCCUUCGGCUUCAAAACGACGCCCUUGCCUACCAAUUUCCGUGCAAAAUAUCUUCCAACAACCCUCGCCGGAAUCUGUCUCGGGGCAAUGCGAUUCAAAUCCGUGUGGCAGGUAUGAUCCAUCACCACCUUGAUCACUCUCCAGAUCGAUGCACUCUGAACG